rnacentral:rRNA from 1 species
UACGAAGGGGGCUAGCGUUGCUCGGAAGCACUGGGCGUAAAGGGUGCGUAGGCGGGUUUUUAAGUCAGAGGUGAAAUCCUGGAGCUCAACUCCAGAACUGCCUUUGAUACUGAAAGUCUUGAGUAUGGGAGAGGUGAGUGGAACUGCGAGUGUAGAGGUGAAAUUCGUAGAUAUUCGCAAGAACACCAGUGGCGAAGGCGGCUCACUGGCCCAUAACUGACGCUGAGGCACGAAAGCGUGGGGAGCAAACAGG